rnacentral:rRNA from 1 species
UAGCUACAGGCUUAACACAUGCAAGUCGAGGGGCAUCAGGAAGAAAGCUUGCUUUCUUUGCUGGCGACCGGCGCACGGGUGAGUAACACGUAUCCAACCUGCCCUUUACUCGGGGAUAGCCUUUCGAAAGAAAGAUUAAUACCCGAUGGCAUAAUGAUUCCGCAUGGUUUCAUUAUUAAAGGAUUCCGGUAAAGGAUGGGGAUGCGUUCCAUUAGGUUGUUGGUGAGGUAACGGCUCACCAAGCCUUCGAUGGAUAGGGGUUCUGAGAGGAAGGUCCCCCACAUUGGAACUGAGACACGGUCCAAACUCCUACGGGAGGCAGCAGUGAGGAAUAUUGGUCAAUGGGCGCUAGCCUGAACCAGCCAAGUAGCGUGAAGGAUGAAGGCUCUAUGGGUCGUAAACUUCUUUUAUAUAAGAAUAAAGUGCAGUAUGUAUACUGUUUUGUAUGUAUUAUAUGAAUAAGGAUCGGCUAACUCCGUGCCAGCAGCCGCGGUAAUACGGAGGAUCCGAGCGUUAUCCGGAUUUAUUGGGUUUAAAGGGAGCGUAGGUGGACUGGUAAGUCAGUUGUGAAAGUUUGCGGCUCAACCGUAAAAUUGCAGUUGAUACUGUCAGUCUUGAGUACAGUAGAGGUGGACGGAAUUCGUGGUGUAGCGGUGAAAUGCUUAGAUAUCACGAAGAACUCCGAUUGCGAAGGCAGCUCACUGGACUGCAACUGACACUGAUGCUCGAAAGUGUGGGUAUCAAACAGGAUUAGAUACCCUGGUAGUCCACACAGUAAACGAUGAAUACUCGCUGUUUGCGAUAUACAGUAAGCGGCCAAGCGAAAGCAUUAAGUAUUCCACCUGGGGAGUACGCCGGCAACGGUGAAACUCAAAGGAAUUGACGGGGGCCCGCACAAGCGGAGGAACAUGUGGUUUAAUUCGAUGAUACGCGAGGAACCUUACCCGGGCUUAAAUUGCAGUGGAAUGAUGUGGAAACAUGUCAGUGAGCAAUCACCGCUGUGAAGGUGCUGCAUGGUUGUCGUCAGCUCGUGCCGUGAGGUGUCGGCUUAAGUGCCAUAACGAGCGCAACCCUUAUCUUUAGUUACUAACAGGUCAUGCUGAGGACUCUAGAGAGACUGCCGUCGUAAGAUGUGAGGAAGGUGGGGAUGACGUCAAAUCAGCACGGCCCUUACGUCCGGGGCUACACACGUGUUACAAUGGGGGGUACAGAAGGCAGCUAGCGGGUGACCGUAUGCUAAUCCCAAAAGCCUCUCUCAGUUCGGAUCGAAGUCUGCAACCCGACUUCGUGAAGCUGGAUUCGCUAGUAAUCGCGCAUCAGCCACGGCGCGGUGAAUACGUUCCCGGGCCUUGUACACACCGCCCGUCAAGCCAUGGGAGCCGGGGGUACCUGAAGUACGUAACCGCAAGGAUCGUCCUAGGGUAAAACUGGUGACUGGGGCUAAGA